rnacentral:rRNA from 1 species
GAUGAACGCUGGCGGCGUGCCUAAUACAUGCAAGUCGAGCGAACAGACGAGGAGCUUGCUCCUCUGACGUUAGCGGCGGACGGGUGAGUAACACGUGGAUAACCUACCUAUAAGACUGGGAUAACUUCGGGAAACCGGAGCUAAUACCGGAUAAUAUAUUGAACCGCAUGGUUCAAUAGAGAAAGACGGUUUUGCUGUCACUUAUAGAUGGAUCCGCGCCGCAUUAGCUAGUUGGUAAGGUAACGGCUUACCAAGGCAACGAUGCGUAGCCGACCUGAGAGGGUGAUCGGCCACACUGGAACUGAGACACGGUCCAGACUCCUACGGGAGGCAGCAGUAGGGAAUCUUCCGCAAUGGGCGAAAGCUUGACGGAGCAACGCCGCGUGAGUGAUGAAGGUCUUCGGAUCGUAAAACUCUGUUAUUAGGGAAGAACAAAUGUGUAAGUAACUAUGCACGUCUUGACGGUACCUAAUCAGAAAGCCACGGCUAACUACGUG